CUAGAGGACCGGCAUUUCGCGUUCGUCUUUCCACCUUGCUGCGUGUUGUGCUCGUCUGCCGAGUUCUGCGUUAUUACGGCUGUCAUACCUACGCACUUACAGGCUUGCAGUGUCUGCGCUUGACGACAUGACACGCGCGUUACCGUGCGUUCCACACGGAUUCAACAAGGACUCGACAAAGAACUGGCUUCAACCUCCGGGUAUUGAAAAUGUGAGGAACGUCUCGAGAAAAUUUCGUCGGUGCCCGGCAAGCCUUCUGACACCUCAGCUGACAAUGUGCUGCGGUUGCUACCAGAGACUGCCCGCUGCUUGACACGCGCAGGAGUGGAUACCAACUUUAGCCACGGACAUUCUUUUUUGCCCUCCAGUUCCUGCUUCACCACAGUUGUCGCACUCCACGCGAGCCCCUGGAAUACAUGCGACGCUCGGCUUCAUUUCAGACCUUGAGACGUUACCUUAGGCCUAACACCAAUGGCUCUCCUGCGAAGCCGGAGAAGCAAGUCGCAAGUCAUGCCUUGCCGUGGACUCGUUUUUCGUUGUGCGCGUUGACCAGUCGUCGGCGUCGCCCGGACUAAUAACUUUUAAUUACCGUGGACCGCUCCCCGACUACCAGCAGGGGCCACCCUUCUUCACGGAGUGUUUGGUCAUCGGUCAACAAGUAAGAUAGGGAGUCCCCGAGCUGGCGAGGGUGGUACGCAGCUUAGAGAAUCUGUCAGUUUGAGUUUAUCGAAUUGGCACUACGCUUGGCGUCUGGUUACGCUUGAAAAAAAGUUACGUGAGGUUAGAUGCGUUGUAAAAUUAAGCCCGAAUCUUUGAGGGCGUGCUGCGGCCGCGUUAUCGGGUGUUCGCCGUGACGGAAUCGGAGAGGACGGGUCACGUCGUCGGUGUGGCGACGAGCUUCAGGUUGAGCUCGCUGUUAGGCAGGAUAGCUAACACUAGGCAGGGUAGUUUGACAGCCGUCCUCUUUCGAUUGCGUCAGGGAAAUUAACCCGUUCCGUAUGAAGUUUCGUGACGAGGUAGUUCGCGCGCGAUUCGAGUUUCAUUAAGCAAAUUGGGGUUUUGAGGAAGCAAACAGCAUGCGGAAUUGCCUUGUCAGCUCGUUAGCUUUGUUAAUGCUUCAUAAACAAGCGUCAUCAGGCUGCAGGUCAGCGCUUCCGCCUGCAGUCAAUGUAAGUGGUCAACCUUGUUGCAUUCUUUUUUGUGUGGGCUUUGUGUUUGCCGGUUACUGUGAUACGCUCCUCACUCCGUUCGACGCACCGCCCGCUUUGUCCGAGUUUUUGGAACACGCGGCCCGCGCUCUGCGUACUACGUAUAUAGCUCACGGUGAGUACACCAGUCCUUCCUACAUUCGUAUUUCUGAAGUUCUGUUUGUUGAACGUUUCAGAUGCCACGUCCCUGCAGGCUGCCAUACAUGGACGUCUGACCACGGCAAGUCAUCCGAGCACCAAGCAGCUAGGGCUAUCCAUGGUUGCGAUAAGUUUCGUUGCAACAUUCUAAGAGAUGACAAGCGCAUCCGAGGCUGGCGAGAGUGGCGCGCGCUUACUUGAUUAUAAUUUUGGUGUCUAAUCGGAACCCCAGUUAUGGUAGCCGGCUACUGCGGCCGGGUCUUUUUCCGUGACGGAAUCGAAGAGGACUGGGUGCGAGUGGGCGGUCGCGACGCGUAUAGCUUCAGGCUUAGCUCCAAGUUAGGCAGGCUGUCUGACAGUUGUCCUCUUUUUCGAUUUCGUCAGGGACAUUGACCCCUUCCGAAUGAGUUUGUGAAGCGACCACCUAUUUCGUGUCGAGUAGCCCCGCGCGCGAUAGUGCGCUCGAGCGAAAUGUGCUUUCGCGGAAGCAAAACUGCAUUCGGAAUUGCCUCGCCAGCCUUUAGACACAGCCCUGCUGGAGAGCAUGCAUCUUUGCCCUACAGCGUGGUUUCAUUGUAAUUGUUGCCGCUGUUCCCGUUUGCUGUAUGUUUUCAUAAUUUUUCAUUCGCGGUGCCAUGCUUACUAUGAUGUUCUGAGGCUUACUUCCAGGCUUUCCUUUCCGCGUGACGCCGACUCUCUACGGGUCCAUGGAUGGAGCGCAGAGCCCUUGGACACGACGAACAGAUCCACCAAAGCCUGCAGAUGUCCCGUUCCUGUACGAGCCGUGCAUCGAACACUGUCCUUGAGCCGGUGUCCAUGGAGAGGUUUUGUCGAACCCAACACGUCCUGUAGCUUCGUCGGCAGCUCUUCUUCAAGAUUUAAUCGCCGAUUGUCCUGUCAGCGGGAGAGACUUCAAGAAGUGUCGUGCACUACUUUAGCCUGCCAACGUCUGCCUUCCACCAAAACCCACGACAAGGACAUCGAGCAGGUUCCUGCAGAUCCUCCAAGGCCUACCUACGUAGCUGAGAUCGCCUUGAGCACCACGCGUCACAUGGCCGGACGUCUCCUUUGCACUCUCUUUUGCUGAUGGCGUCAUCCAGCCAGACGGCACAUUGUUGCUAAUCUUGGAUCUACUGCUGCUUGCCAAAGUCCGCUUUCUACUGCAACCCUCGACAAGGACAUUGAGCUGGUUCCUGCAGAUCCUCUACUGCCUACCUAAGUUGCGACCCACCUACAUUCCACCUGCCUACCUACCUGCAUUCACGAGACAAGAAGCAAUUGCGGUGGGCUGGCCCCAGCCCCUCUGUGACCUGCUGGCUGACGACUACUCCCUGUGCCUGCUAUACAUUCGGCUCUCAACGUGGGUUCUCGCCUGUACCACGCUGAAGAUUCGUCCAUCCCCAGUCACUGACAUCGGUACCAUUCCUGGCGUUACCUCAAGAGUGCCUACGUCCUGCCUCAUCGUUCUGCCGGGGAUUCUGAACCAUUCAAGUCUCCGCACGUUUGUAAGAUUUCAUGGCGUCCGGUACUGUUUUCACUGCGUGUGGGUGUCCUCAAGAAAGACUUUGUGGUCGCCGUCCCUUGACCAGCCGUUGGAAGUUGUGCUGUACUUUUUUGCUGUAGCCUACGCAGGAAAGGAUGCGUCAGCUAGUUAUCGUAGCAAGCUGCCCUACAGUGAAAGUUAUGCGUUGCUCUGUCAAUGGGCGACACAUCUAACAGUGAAACUUAUACGAAGCCGAAGACUCGAACAAAUGUUCGCGUUACAUGCUCCAAAGCCCUGUCUUAAGCUCUGAUGUUCCAGUUAUGAGUUUAUCUGUAAAUUUGUGACGGUGAGGGUAAGGACAUUUGUUUACGUUGUGCGCUUCUGUAAUAGUGCACUUAUGUGCUAGUGCCAUGUUUGCGCGCACGUUCAUUUUCUUAUACGUUCACAGCUCAUCUAUACUCUUGUUGGGUUGUGAAUGGAUCCAACUUGCGUUUCAAUACAGUUGUGUGCGCCUGGUGAUGUGCGUACCUGUCCUUAUUGUGUCCCUGGCAAUAACCUUAACCCGUUGGCGAUUCAGUUUCAAACCGUUACGAAUCUCUUCGUCAGCUUCUUAAAAUUUUUUCCCCAGUCGUACUGGUUGCAGGGUGCCGAAGGGAUGGUUCGUUAUUGUACAUGCAUAUCCCCUUUGGAAUAGGUUGAAGCACCUGUUGGCUUUAGCUCGAGCAUUGAUUUCGUGGUGGUAGUUUCAUUCGCUGAAUUGAUUUGUUCUAACGACGUCGUCCUGCUGUAUCGGCAGACGUCCAUUUCGCAGUGCCCCGAGGUUUGAGCACGGGGUGUUCAUUCAUUGAACUGAUUUCUUCUAAAUUCGUGGUUUAGCUUGUUUCCGGUGUUCGAACUCGGGUUGUGUUCAUUCGUUGACAUGAUUUGUUCGAAAGUCGUUGCGCUGUACCGGUAGAAGCCUUAUUGACGUGUCCCCGAGGUUGUAACUCGGGUUCAGGUCAUUCGUGGAACUGAAUUGUUCGAAAGUCGUCUUCUAUGGGUAGAAGCCCGUUUGGCUUGUUCCCGAACUCUGGUUGAGUUAGUUCGUUGACCUGAUUUGUUCGAAAGUCGUCGUGAUGUUUUGGUAGAAGCCCUUUUGGCUAGUUCCCGAGGUUUGAACUCGGGGUGAUUUUAUUCGUUGACCUAAUUUGCUCGAAAGUUGUUGUGUUGUACCGGUAGUAGCAAGUUUGGCUUGUCUCCGAGGUUCUAACUCGGGGUGUUUUGUUCAUUGAACUGAAUUGUUCGAAAGCCGUCGUGUUCUAUCGUUAGAAUCCCGUUUGGCUUGUUCCCGAGCUCUGGUUGUAUUAAUUCGUUGACCUGAUUGCUCGUAGGUGAUGGUGUUUUGGUAGCCCUUUUGGCUAGUUCCCGAGGUUUGAACUCGGGUUGUUAAUUCGUUGACCUGUUUUGUUCGAAAGUCGUCGUUUUGUUUUGGUAGAAGCCCUUUUGGCUAGUUCCCGAGGUUUGAACUCGGGUUGUUAAUUCGUUGACCUGAUUUGUUCGAAAGUCGUCGUUUUGUUUUGGUAGAAGCCCUUUUGGCUAGUUCCCGAGGUUUGAACUCGGGGUGAUUUUAUUCAUCGACCUAAUUUGUUCGAAAGUCGUUGUGUUAUUGUACCGGUAUAAGCCAGUUUGGCUUGUCCCCGAGGUUCUAACUCGGGUUGUUUUCAUUCAUUGAACUGAAUUGUUCGAAAGCCGUCGUAUUCUAUCGUUAGAAUCCCGUUUGGCUUGUUCCCGAACUAUGGUUGUAUUAAAUCGUUGACCUGAUUGUUCGAAGGUGGUGGUGUUUUGGUAGCCCUUUUGGCUAGUUCCCGAGGUUUGAACUCGGGUAGUUAAUUCGUUGACCUGAUUUGUUCGAAAGUCGUCGUUUUGUUUUGGUAGAAGCCCUUUUGGCUAGUUCCCGAGGUUUGAACUCGGGUUGUUAAUUCGUUGACCCGAUUUGUUCGAAACUCGUCGUUUUGUUUUGGUAGAAGCCCUUUUGGCUAGUUCCCGAGGUUUGAACUCGGGUUAUUUCGUUGACCUGAUUUG
rnacentral:lncRNA from 1 species